GGAAAGGUGCAGGAGUGGUUGAACUGGCGGUCCUGGAAAGACCGUAUGCCAGAAAUGGCAUCGAGGGUUCGAAUCCCUCCCUUUCCG
rnacentral:tRNA from 1 species